rnacentral:rRNA from 1 species
AUUGAACGCUGGCGGCAGGCCUAACACAUGCAAGUCGAACGGUAACAGGAAGCAGCUUGCUGCUUCGCUGACGAGUGGCGGACGGGUGAGUAAUGUCUGGGAAGCUGCCUGAUGGAGGGGGAUAACUACUGGAAACGGUAGCUAAUACCGCAUAAUGUCGCAAGACCAAAGAGGGGGACCUUCGGGCCUCUUGCCAUCGGAUGUGCCCAGAUGGGAUUAGCUUGUUGGUGGGGUAACGGCUCACCAAGGCGACGAUCCCUAGCUGGUCUGAGAGGGUGACCAGCCACACUGGAACUGAGACACGGUCCAGACUCCUACGGGAGGCAGCAGUGGGGAAUAUUGCACAAUGGGCGCAAGCCUGAUGCAGCCAUGCCGCGUGUAUGAAGAAGGCCUUCGGGUUGUAAAGUACUUUCAGCGGGGAGGAAGGGAGUAAAGUUAAUACCUUUGCUCAUUGACGUUACCCGCAGAAGAAGCACCGGCUAACUCCGUG